GCCUGAAUGGCUCAGUCGGUUGAGCAUCUGACUUUGGCUCAGGUCAUGAUCUCUCAGUUCGUGAGUUCAAGCCCCUCGUCUGGCU
rnacentral:tRNA from 1 species